rnacentral:rRNA from 1 species
UACGUAGGGUCCGAGCGUUGUCCGGAAUUAUUGGGCGUAAAGGGCUCGUAGGCGGUCCGUCACGUCGGGAGUGAAAACUCAGGGCUCAACCCUGAGCGUGCUUCCGAUACGGGCGGACUAGAGGUAUGCAGGGGAGAACGGAAUUCCUGGUGUAGCGGUGGAAUGCGCAGAUAUCAGGAGGAACACCAAUGGCGAAGGCAGCACUCUGGGACGUGACUGACGCUGAGACGCGAAAGCGUGGGGAGCAAACAGG